rnacentral:rRNA from 1 species
UGCCUUAGUAACGGCGAGUGAAGCGGCAAAAGCUCAAAUUUGAAAUCGAACCCCCGUUCGAGUUGUAAUUUGUAGAAGUAACUUUUGUGUUUAGACCUGGCGGAAGUUCCUUGGAACAGGACGCCGUAGAGGGUGAGAGCCCCGUUCUACCAGAGUCGAUGCCUUGUAAAGUGCUUUCAAAGAGUCGAGUUGUUUGGGAAUGCAGCUCUAAGUGGGUGGUAAAUUCCAUCUAAAGCUAAAUAUUGGCGAGAGACCGAUAGCGAACAAGUACAGUGAUGGAAAGAUGAAAAGAACUUUGAAAAGAGAGUGAAAAAGUACGUGAAAUUGCUGAAAGGGAAGGGCUUGAAAUCAGACUUGGCUUGUAGUGAUCAUCCGUCCUUUGGGGCGGUGCACUCGCUGCUUGCUAGGCCAGCAUGGGUUUGGGGGGAGUCAUAAGAGCCUUGGAAUGUGGCUUGGCUAGGUCUCCUAGCUGAGUGUUAUAGCCCUGGUUGAUAGCUCCACCCCGGAUCGAGGACUGCUGUCUUAUAGGAUGCUGGCGUAAUGAUUUUAAGCCGCCCGUCUUGAAACACGGACCAAGGAGUCUAACGUCUAUGCGAGUGUUUGGGUGUAAAACCCGUACGCGUAAUGAAAGUGAACGAAGAUGAGAGCCGCAAGGUGCAUCAUUGACCGAUCCUGAUCUUCUGGGAUGGAUUUGAGUAAGAGCAUAGCUGUUGGGACCCGAAAGAUGGUGAACUAUGCCUGAAUAGGGUGAAGCCAGAGGAAACUCUGGUGGAGGCUCGUAGCGGUUCUGACGUGCAAAUCGAUCGUCAAAUUUGGGUAUAGGGGCGAAAGAC